rnacentral:tRNA from 2 species
GUCAACAUAGUUUAAUAAAAACAUUAGGAUGUGGAUCUAAAAAAAGAAGCUCAACCCUUCUUGUUGACC